UACGUAGGGACCGAGCGUUGUCCGGAUUCAUUGGGCGUAAAGAGCUCGUAGGCGGCCACUCAAGUCGAAUGUGAAACCUCGAGGCUUAACCUCGAGCCUGCAUUCGAUACUGGGCGGCUAGAGUCUGGUAGGGGGAUCUGGAAUUCCUGGUGUAGCGGUGGAAUGCGCAGAUAUCAGGAGGAACACCGGUGGCGAAGGCAGCUCGCUGGGACGGUACUGACGCUGAGGCGCGAAAGCGUGGGGAGCGAACAGG
rnacentral:rRNA from 1 species